GAAAUGCGAUAAGUAGUGUGAAUUGCAGAAUUUAGUGAAUCAUUGAAUCUUUGAACGCACAUUGCGCCCUUUGGUAUUCCUUAGGGCAUGCCUGUUUGAGCGUUAUUUAAAACCUUAAGCUUAGCUUGGUGAUGGGCGCCUGUCCCGCCUUGUGCGCGGACUCGCCUUAAAUGCAUUGGCGGCUGGUACCUUGGCUUCGAGCGCAGCAGAAACGCGGUCUUGAGGCCUUGGGGACGAUCUCUAGAAGCUAACACCUUAUUUUGACCUUGGAUUAGGUAGGGAUACCCGCUGAACUUAA
rnacentral:misc_RNA from 1 species